CCCGCCGGACCUGACUGCUAUCGGAUUGAUACUAAGCCAUGCGAGUCAUUGUAGCAAUACAAGGCAUACGGCUCAGUAACGCGUAGUCAACCUAACCUAUGGACGGGAAUAACCUCGGGAAACUGAGAAUAAUGCCCGAUAGAACAUUAUGCCUGGAAUGGUUUAUGUUCCAAAUGAUUUAUCGCCGUAGGAUGGGACUGCGGCCUAUCAGUUUGUUGGUGAGGUAAUGGCCCACCAAGACUAUUACAGGUACGGGCUCUGAGAGGAGUAGCCCGGAGAUGGGUACUGAGACACGGACCCAGGCCCUAUGGGGCGCAGCAGGCGAGAAAACUUUGCAAUGUGCGAAAGCACGACAAGGUUAAUCCGAGUGAUUUGUGCUAAACAAAUCUUUUGUUAGUCCUAGAAACACUAACGAAUAAGGGGUGGGCAAGUUCUGGUGUCAGCCGCCGCGGUAAAACCAGCACCUCAAGUGGUCAGGAUGAUUAUUGGGCCUAAAGCAUCCGUAGCCGGCUCUGUAAGUUUUCGGUUAAAUCUGUACGCUCAACGUACAGGCUGCCGGGAAUACUGCAAAGCUAGGGAGUGGGAGAAGUAGACGGUACUCGGUAGGAAGUGGUAAAAUGCUUUGAUCUAUCGAUGACCACCUGUGGCGAAGGCGGUCUACUAGAACACGUCCGACGGUGAGGGAUGAAAGCUGGGGGAGCAAACCGGAUUAGAUACCCGGGUAGUCCCAGCUGUAAACUAUGCAAACUCAGUGAUGCAUUGGCUUGUGGCCAAUGCAGUGCUGCAGGGAAGCCGUUAAGUUUGCCGCCUGGGAAGUACGUACGCAAGUAUGAAACUUAAAGGAAUUGGCGGGGGAGCACCACAAGGGGUG
rnacentral:rRNA from 1 species